rnacentral:rRNA from 1 species
GAUGAACGCUGGCGGCGUGCUUAACACAUGCAAGUCGAACGGAAAGGCCCAAGCUUGCUUGGGUACUCGAGUGGCGAACGGGUGAGUAACACGUGGGUGAUCUGCCCUGCACUUCGGGAUAAGCCUGGGAAACUGGGUCUAAUACCGGAUAGGACCACUUCUUGGAUGUUGUGGUGGAAAGUUUUUUCGGUGUGGGAUGAGCUCGCGGCCUAUCAGCUUGUUGGUGGGGUAAUGGCCUACCAAGGCGUCGACGGGUAGCCGGCCUGAGAGGGUGUACGGCCACAUUGGGACUGAGAGACGGCCCAGACGCCGACGGGAGGCAGCAGUGGGGAAUAUUGCACAAUGGGCGCAAGCCGGAUGCAGCGACGCCGCGGGGGGGAUGACGGCCUUCGGGUUGUAAACUCCUUUCGCUAGGGACGAAGCGUUUUGUGACGGUACCUGGAGAAGAAGCACCGGCUAACUACGUG